UGAGCUUCCCACAGUUCCGGGCAGCCAGGCGCAGCCACCCCUGCCCACGCGGGGGACCCUGCAGGAAUGGGGAGGGAAUGUGCCUCCUGCGCCUGCACCAGGAACAGAGCCGAGCAACUCCCUGAGGUCAGUGACCAGGUGUGACACCUCUGUCCCCACCCAGCCCGCACCUGGCCGGAUGCUGCCAACACAAUGGAUGCUCCCUAAGCAUCUCUGGCUUUAAUGUUAUUGUUCCUGUGGCUUUUCUGUUAACUUGAGAGGAGAUCCUGGGAAGAAUGAGGGCUGGAAAUGCUGUGAGAAAUCAUGAGGCUGUGGCUGGAGAAGCCUGGGGAAGAAGUGAGCAGCUAACAGCUCCUAUUGACACUGAGCAGGUUGUUAGCUAUGUGGCCAGCGGGCACUGUCCAAGUGGCAAAUGGAGAGGUGGGACCGAAGAGGAGCAGAAGCUGAGAGGCAGAAAACAAUCAGCAGUUUAUCUGGGCUCACAUCCUUUCAAGAAGUGGGACAGGAGUCUGGACCCAGGUCUGUGCUGGAGACUUGAGAAAGACUUCAAGCAGAAGGGACUCUGAGCUGAAGACAAGAGGGAGGAAGAGAAACAGGCUCUGCAGAGCGAAUUUAGGCCAAGAAAAAGUAGGAAAGAAGGUGUCCUCUACAGCGUGAGGGGGAUUACUGUGAGAGGGACAGCACCAAAGAGCCCUCAAGGUCCACGGCCCUUUUCCAUCUGCCGCCUCAGCUGAGUCAGGUCCAGCUGCCCUAUGGAAAACCUGCUUGAGUUCUCGCGAGAAGUCCGCUCUCAGGGAUGUGAGAACUGCGCUUCGGAAGUGUCCUGGGUCACGCCUACUUCUCUGGCCGUCUCGGGUGCCCCAGACUUCUGCCUCAGAUGGGGAGGGGGACGCAUGUAUAGAGAUGGUAACAAUCCAGGUGGAGAUUCGACUGAAUAUCUGUACAAAAGAGACUGGAUUCAUCUAAACUAAUUUACAACAGAAGAGACCGGCUUGCUUUGUCAGGUUUAAACUCUCAAUAUUAGUGCAAAGGAGAACAGGAAAAGUUUAUAACCAUCCUAAAGAAUAAAGGAUUUGUCCCUCGCUCCUUCUCUCCCCAGCGCUUUUUAUGUUUUUAUUUGGAGGCAAGAUCUUGCUUAAUUGCUAAAUCGCUCCGGCUGGGCUCCAACUUGCAAUCCAGAGUGCUAGGAUUACAGGUCGGCUCCACAACG